rnacentral:lncRNA from 1 species
CUUCCUUCGCUUCAACUGUUAUAGGGAGAUAAGAAUCUGCCUUCAAGGGGUAUUGUGAGAAACAACUUGUAAUAAAACAAGAAGGGUCGAUGCUCCUAAAAUGGAGUGAUUGAUAGCUGCUGAGGGAGCAAGACAUCAAAUGAAUUCCAAACAUGGCUCAGUUGUUUUUAUCAGAAAUCAACUUGUCUAACUCAUAUCACUGGUUUAAAUUCACUUCUUGAGUGGCUUGGCAUGGUUUCCAAAGGCUCUGGAAUCAAGAUGGCAUCUUUCUGGCAACUCGGUGGAAGUUGAUGCCCUUCUGAGGUAUUUUGCCUUGGACAUUUUGUUCUGCACAGCCGAAUGUGAUCAGAACUAGUCAGACAAGGUUCAAAAUGUUCCAAAGAGGUUAAAAUAGGUCAAAGUGGAGCCAGAAAGAAUGUGGUGUCACUGGGAAACUACUCUGUGGGUCUGUCUGGAAAAAAAAAGACGUCUUGAAAACUUGUGGAACACCAAAGGAAAGAUACUUUGUUUUGAAGGAAAAGAAUUCAGAACAGUUAAUUCCAUUCAAUUCAGAACUAGUACUGGGUUCACCUGGCAUAGUAGAGCACCGGCCUGGGCGUCAGAAGGUCAUGGGUUCUAAUCCCGGAUCCGCCACGCAUCUGCUGUGUGACCUUGGGUAAGUCACUUCACUUCUCUGGGCCUCAGUCACCUCAUCUGUAAAAUGGGGAUUGAGACUGUCAGCCUCAUGUGGGACAGGGUCUGUGUCCAAAUCUAUUUGCUUGCAUCCACCCCAGCGCUUAGUACAGUGCACAGCAAAUAGUAACCACUUAACUAACGCCGUAAUUAUUAUUAUUGGUACUGUCAAAUGGCAGAAACCAAACAAGACGAUUACAUUUCAGAAAAUUAAAAUGAUCUGCCGAACCGACCCCUGGAUAAUUUGUCAUCCAAGUUCUUCCCAAAGCCAGCAUGAGGAAACCGAGGAACGGGGAGGUUAAUCAGGAUUAGAAUUCAGUUCUCCUCAUCCUCAGAUCAGUAUUUUUUCCCACGAGGCCAUGUUGCUUUUGAUUUUUUU